rnacentral:rRNA from 1 species
CGCCCAGACUCCUACGGGAGGCAGCAGUAGGGAAUAUUGCUCAAUGGGGGAAACCCUGAAGCAGCAACGCCGCGUGGAGGAUGAAGGUUUUAGGAUUGUAAACUCCUUUUGUUAGAGAAGAUUAUGACGGUAUCUAACGAAUAAGCCCCGGCUAACUACGUGCCAGCAGCCGCGGUAAUACGUAGGGGGCGAGCGUUAUCCGGAUUCACUGGGUGUAAAGGGAGCGUAGACGGCCAUGCAAGCCAGGGGUGAAAGCCCGGGGCCCAACCCCGGGACUGCCCUUGGAACUGUGCGGCUAGAGUGCGGGAGGGGCAGGCGGAAUUCCUGGUGUAGCGGUGAAAUGCGUAGAUAUCAGGAGGAACACCGGCGGCGAAGGCGGCCUGCUGGACCGCGACUGACGUUGAGGCUCGAAAGCGUGGGGAGCGAACAGGAUUAGAUACCCCCGUAC